CCGUGCUGGCUGAAAUGAUGGGCUCCGUGCUGGCUGAAAUGAUGGGCUUCGUGUUGGCUGAAAUGAUGGGCUCCGUGCUGGCUGAAAUGAUGGGCUCCGUGCUGGCUGAAAUGAUGGGCGCCGUGCUGGCUGAAAUGACCACGAUGUUGUUGCCCAGUUGGAGGGUUGUUAGGUGAGAAUGAAGCAGAUUGGAAACUCAAGGCCCGAGCCAGAAUCCCAUUAAGAUGUUCUGUCUGAAAUGGUGUCUGGACCGCAGCCCACCGGAGAUGGAGAAUGAGUUCCUUUACGCUGUCGAUAAGUCGUCCUCAAGCUGGAACAGAUGGCUUUUUGUGUGAGUGAGCAGCGAGGGUUGUCACUUAUGUGUGUUUGGGUGGGAUACAUGAGGAUAGUGCUUCUUGUGUGUUUGGGUGGGAUACUUGAGGAUAGUGUUUCUGUGUGUUUGGGUGGGAUACAUGAGGAUAGUGCUUCUGAAUGCUAGAAGUCCGUUCAGUUUGUAAUGUACCCUUUUGGCAAAAUCCGUCUUGGUGGAUUUAUCUAUGCAGAGUCACCUUGCAGUCAACACACAGAAGAGCCACAGCUAUAACUUCCUGUGGUUAACUAAAGCAGUGAUGUGGAUACUAAAAGGAGUCUCCCUGGGUUCUCUGCUGUGCAGCUGGCGCGUAUGGAGGAGGAGCUGAUAGACCGUCUUCGCAGGGAGGUGGCGAGACAGAGAGAGCUGAACGUUCUGCGACAGGAGGACAACAGGCUACGCUGGAGGACACUGUGCUUCCUCCAGCUCAACCAGCGCCUCAAAAAGCCUGUUGUAACCAGCUAUUACAAGAACAUCCCGAUGCACAUCUACUGUCUCCCUAUUCAGACUGUUGGAAAAGGCAACAGUAACAAGACGAAGAAG
rnacentral:lncRNA from 13 species